rnacentral:rRNA from 1 species
CUCUAGCGAGACUGCCCCGCAAAACGGGGAGGAAGGUAGGGAUGACGUCAAGUCAGCACGGCCCUUAUGCCUUGGGCUACACACACGCUACAAUGGGUGGUACAAUCGGUUGCAAUAGAGCGAUCUGGAGCUAAUCCCUAAAACCAUCCUCAGUUCAGAUUGCAGGCUGAAAUUCGCCUGCAUGAAGGUGGAGUUGCUAGUAACCGCAAGUCAGCAUAUUGCGGUGAAUACGUUCUCGGGCCUUGUACACACCGCCCGUCACGUCAUGAAAGUUGGCAACACUUGAAGUCAAUGGGCUAACCUAUUUAUAGGGGGCAGUUGCCGAAGGUGGGGCUAGCGAUUGGGACGAAGUCGUAACAAGGUAGCUGUAGCGGAAGCUGUGGCUGGAUCACCUCCUUUCUAGGGAG